rnacentral:sRNA from 1 species
CUGAAUGUCCUAAACGUAAGAGCGAUAGCAAACAAUGCUCUCGAAAAGGAAAGUAGCAAAUAUCAGAUCUCAAAGUCAACGCGACAUGUUCAAGUUUACAAAAGCUACACCACAAAGCGACAGGAAAGAAAAUCAAUAUGCAAAGGUUCAUCGAAGUCUGGAUACCCUUGCAGACGAAAGCUAGAGCAUAAGAACCCUAAAUAUUUCAUUAAACCGUUUCCCAACAAUGCUCUUACAAGUCCGUAAGGAAUUCUAAAAAAAAAAACUUUUUUUAAUGUUUCACUGACAGCAGUAAAAAGUACAGUUUCCUUCGGUUUGUUGCGUGCUGCAAACAUUUUGUAUUCAUAUAUUUUUCGAUUCAACAAGCAUAUCAUAAUUCAUUAAAAUUUGGCUCUCAAUUUGCAAUGCACUGCGCAAGCGAGUAGAAUAAGUGAGUAAAUCAAACAAGGCGAAAUUGCAAAUUUUAAAAUGCAAAAACAAUCAAGAGUCGUAAACAUUCAAGUGUUUACUUAAGCUGCUGUUAAAUCAGCUGUUUGCCGUAAAAUGCAACUGCCAAUCGGAAUUGACUUCAUUUAGUUAAGUGCAAAUUAUUUUGUGACCCAAUUAUGCACACUCUGCUACUAUUUAAUCGAUUAAUUAGCAUCCAUGAAUGAGUAUUCACUUCGAGUAGUGAAUAACAAAUGCAUUCAAGUGUGCAGUCACAAGACUUAACACCCGUUGCCUCAAGUGAAAUUGAAAUUAGUAACGAGUUUAGCUUUAACCCUGAGCUAGGGUCUCAAAAUUUGUUGCUUAUCACAGUUUAUUAAAGUUGUAUACCCUGCUUACAACGA